AGUGAACGCUGGCGGUAGGCCUAACACAUGCAAGUCGAACGGCAGCACAGUAAGAGCUUGCUCUUACGGGUGGCGAGUGGCGGACGGGUGAGGAAUACAUCGGAAUCUACUUUUUCGUGGGGGAUAACGUAGGGAAACUUACGAUAAUACCGCAUACGACCUACGGGUGAAAGCAGGGGAUAUUCGGACCUUGCGCGAUUGAAUGAGCCGAUGUUGGAUUAGCUAGUUGGCGGGGUAAAGGCCCACCAAGGCGACGAUCCGUAGCUGGUCUGAGAGGCUGAUCACCCACACUGGAACUGAGACACGGACCAGACUCCUACGGGAGGCAGCAGUGGGGAAUAUUGGACAAUGGGCGCAAGCCUGACCCAGCCAUACCGCGUGGGUGAAGAAGGCCUUCGGGUUGUAAAGCCCUUUUGUUGGUAAAGAAAAGCAUCAGGUUAAUACCCCGCUGUUCUGACGGUACCCAAAGAAGAAGCACCGGCUAACUUCGUG
rnacentral:rRNA from 1 species